rnacentral:lncRNA from 1 species
CCAUGUGAAAGUUUCUCUUAUACAACACAUCUUCAUUCAAAAAGAAGUUGCCAUCCAGUCUUCUCAAAGUCUUUUUAUCUUUGUUGGAUCUCCCAUGUGGGUACUCCUGACUCUGGAGGAAAAGCUUAAUAUCAUGAUACCGAGGAUUUUCAUCUGUAACUUCUUCCUUUGUGAAUACAUGAGAAGGCGUAUCGAGGCGCAUAAUUCUG